UACAGAGGGUGCGAGCGUUAAUCGGAGUUACUGGGCGUAAAGGGCGCGUAGGCGGUGAUGCAAGUAAGAUGUGAAAUCCCUGGGCUUAACCUAGGAAUUGCAUUUUAGACUGUGUUGCUAGAGUGCAGUAGAGGGUAGUGGAAUUUCCGGUGUAGCGGUGAAAUGCGUAGAGAUCGGAAGGAACACCAGUGGCGAAGGCGACUACCUGGACUGACACUGACGCUGAGGCGCGAAAGCGUGGGGAGCAAACAGGAUUAGAUACCCUGGUAGUCCACGCUGUAAACGAUGAGAACUAGAUGUUGGUGCGCGCGAGCGCAUAAGUAUCGAAGCUAACGCGAUAAGUUCUCCGCCUGGGGAGUACGGCCGCAAGGUUAAA
rnacentral:rRNA from 1 species